rnacentral:lncRNA from 10 species
GUAAAGGCAGCAGCCCGGCCUUGAAGCCGGAUCUCGCGAUGUUUCAGGGCGGCUUUGGUGUCAUCAAAUGUGAGAAGCCCUGGACUUUACACAUCCCGAGCCAGUGUGAUCCAGUAUGAUUGGGAGUCCGAGUGCCAGAUGCCGGUCAGGACCUGUUAUGCUGGGUCUCAGAAUGCGGAAACUCUCCCUGUCCGAGGUGGAACAGUUUGUCCUUGAGUGAGGACUGGAGUCCUGAGUGACUCUUUUGAUUUGAUCCUGUUUCCCUCAAACCUGAGAUGGGAGCCUCACUGUAUUGCCCAGGCUGGUCUUGAACUCCGGAGCUCAAGUGAUCGUCUUGCUUCAGCCUUGCAAAAUGAUGGUGAAGCUGCAUCAUUGUCUGGGGUAAAUACCUGAGGUUCGUUGUCUCACGCCAAGGGAAUCAAGGACGUGGACACACAAGAAAUGGAGUCCCUGUCUGACCGGGCCAUGUUGUAUGUUCCUUGCUGUACACGUGGUUGACAAAGAAAAGGGAAGAUGGAGCUGCGAUGUUGGACAUGCCUGGCCCCCAGGACAUACAGCCCUGCCGAGCAAAUAAUGAACGUAACUCACAAACUUCCUGCUUAUCAUCAAACGCACGCAUCCACUUAUCAUCAAACACCUCGGGUGACAGAAGAAUGCAGGUCAGCUCCCUGCUGCCUUGGCAUUAUCAAUCAGCCCAGGAACCAUCCUAUAAAAUCUCCAGCAAGCCUUUGUUUCCUUGCAGUCAGCUCCUCUUCCACUGAUUCUGCCUGUUGCUCCCUGAUAACAUACUUUGAUACUGUCUUUAAUAAAUCUGCCUUUCUUCACCCACAGCUGUCUUGGUAAGUUCUUUUACCUCUGUGCCACCAGCCCAAACAGUUGCUGCUCACCUGAAACAAAGAAUAAAUGUGGUUUUUAAGCAAAUCAAAGUUUACUUAGUGACUCUUACCAAGCUUUGUAGAAGGUUGUGCCAAAAGGAGAAGCUUAAGAGAUAAC